GGACGGAGAUCCUGAACUUGAUCGACGGACCAUGGCCCACACGUGAUGCAUAAUGGCCGGCCCAUUGGCUUAUUGAUCCGACUCGGUUUCAGCGGAUCCCAAGUCGAGAUACUUUCCCGCGCUCGCUCGUCAGGGUUAAAGAAGCGGAAGAGCCGUCGUUUGUUUGGUCGCGUCUCGCGGGGAGAGUGGGGAGGAGGUGGAGGGAUCGAUGGUACACCAGAUGGUUUCCGAUCCGAAGGAUGGCGUCGAUCGGAUCUUCGCCGGCUUCAAGUGCGGGAUCUCCGCUCCUGGUGAUUUCCCCCGGAUCCUAAUCCUUCGCCCCGUCCCCCUUUCCUCCUCGGAAUUCGAUUUCUUGGCCGUUCUUAAUCCGCGACCAAGAAAGCAGGCUUGGUGAGAGGGGAGGCGUCUGUGGUUGCUGGAGUUGCUACGCCGAGCUUGUCGGAACAAUGUGGGCGGGAUUCGGCAGGGAAAGAGAAGGGAAGAUGGACUGUACAUCUUUUCGCCAAGGGAAAAUGUCAAGCUUCUUGAUCAUGUGUAUGCAACACGUAUGUGCACACUACAUUGUUUAUAGAGUGUCUUGUGCAGUCCGAAGCUUAUCUUGAUCAAAAUGUCAAUUUUCUUGAUCAAGAUGUGUUCAUCUUGAUGUGUAUGCAAACGUGAUCAUGGAUUCUGUCGAGUGUUUCCAGUUCAAAAAAAUGUCAAUGCCCUUAAUCAAGAUGUCUUUAUCUUGAUCAGGUUGAUCGACCUUAAGGAUAAGUUUUUUAGCGUUUAAGAAUUAGGAUAGCUUGUGAUGGUCUAAAUAAAUACGAAGAGAAAUUUUUGGUUUGGCUACUCUGUGUUUGUCCAUAAUCCAUGUAGAUUAUGAAUUGACAUGGGGUGGUAAUAUUUGCUCUCGCUGUUCGACCUUGGCUAACAUGCAUGGGAUGCAUGUCUGCACUUAUUUUAGCACCUGGGAAUGGGAUGUUCACUCUCAGCUUCAUAUUUAG